AGCGAACGCUGGCGGCAGGCCUAACACAUGCAAGUCGAACGAACCUUUCGGGGUUAGUGGCGGACGGGUGAGUAACACGUGGGAACGUGCCUUUAGGUUCGGAAUAACUCAGGGAAACUUGUGCUAAUACCGAAUGUGCCCUCCGGGGGAAAGAUUAAUCGCCUUUAGAGCGGCCCGCGUCUGAUUAGCUAGUUGGUUGAGGUAAUGGCUCACCAAGGCGACGAUCAGUAGCUGGUCUGAGAGGAUGAUCAGCCACAUUGGGACUGAGACACGGCCCAAAAUCCUACGGGAGGCAGCAGUGGGGAAUCUUGCGAAAUGGGCGAAAGCCUGACGCAGCCAUGCCGGGUGAAUGAUGAAGGUCUUAGGAUAGUAAAAUUCUUUCACCGGGGACGAUAAUGACGGUACCCGGAGAAGAAGCCCCGGCUAACUUCGUG
rnacentral:rRNA from 1 species